AUGCUGUCCCUUCUGGGAGCAACAAAGGCUGCUUGUGCCCCGCUGGGAGGCAGGGCAUCACCUCCAUCCUGGCACCUGGGCGCUCUGGGAUGUGGUGGAGGAAGUGGAGACACUUCUGCCUUUAUCUGCUGUGGUCUGGAGUGGGGGGCUUCCUCUCUCAGGCGUGGGAAGACUGUGAACAGGAAGAGUCUAGAAAGCCCGUUAGGGAGGCACCCAGUUCUUCAGGGCUUCAGAUGGAAGCUUGUUACCGAGAAGGACUGCGUGAGGCAGAGGUGUGGAGUCUUGCCCUGCGAGGCCUGGGAGGCGCUCAGGGUUCCUUCUCUAUACCCUCUGCCGCCAGCACCAGCUGCUGCUGGUCCACAAGCCACCUCGAAGUUCUUCCUUGUGUUCAGCGCCCACCUCUGCCGCCUCUCCCGACCACCUCAUCCAAGCAGGACCACGGAGUGGUGGCAGGGGUCACUUCAGACGCCCUCCAGGUCUCCAGCCCAGGGCCAGCAGACAGCUGUCCGGCUUCAGAGAUUGAAAACUGAAGGCUCCCCAAACAGCAGCCCCGGACUCACCCCCUCCUUAUAUGGAAGAGCAAUCACAGAAACUGGGGAAAGGAAAACAAACCUUCCAAGGAGAAAUUUCAUUCUAAUGACACCAUUCAUCAUUAGUUUUUUAAUUAGGAAAAGCUCCCGGAUGAGGCGGCUUUGCCAGCUCAUAGGGUUCUCAAUUUCCACGAGAACCAUUCUUGCCCGGAGGAUUAGUGGAGUUGGUGCUCACCAAGCCCAGACCUCCCUGCAGUGUCCAGUUUCGUUGGAAAAUAAUGCCGAUUCCCGGGUACAGUGGAAAACCCUUUCCUGGCAUCAUUCAUGGUCCCAGUGCUGGCCAGAAAGCUCCAAAACUCCUCUGCCUUAAAAAACUGCCCAACCCAACACCUGUCUUCCCCCCCAGGACUGGAGUAGGUGGAAACAAAACUAAUCCCAAGCUGCAGUGUUUGUUUCUAAAUAUUUUUGUAUUGUGUACAUUCUGUAUAUUUUUGUUGUAACAUAUUAUUUGAGCACAGAUUCCAUUAAAGAUUUUUUUUUCUUUAAGUCAUUGGUUAUACAGUUAUUCUCACCAGUUCCACCAGUUACCCAGGACGGGCUGGCAUUGGAGCCUGUUUCAUCUCGGUCUGGGUUAGGGUUGGGGAGGGAGGGAGAGUGGACCACGGUGGGGGUGGGUCUGUGAUGUCUGCCCUACGGAUGGGGCGUCCGUGCUCAGCACUGGUCUUCCCAGCUUGGUAGUUCUUGACCGUUCUUGAAUACAGUUCUUUUGAGUGGUUGAUGAAAGCUAUGAUUUUUCUUCCCAUAAAAAUGCACAGACAGACAAUUCUAUGUAUAAUUUAGAGGGAAAGGGCUGUGAAUAAGGAAACUCAUCUAGGGUUUCAGGUCAUGAACCUCUGUGCCAGCCGUCCUGGUGGGUGCCUGGCCUUCCCCUUCCACUCUUACACUGUACCCCGAUGAGAGCUUAAUAUUCUAUUAUUAUUGGAUGAGUCUCCUUCAAAAUAUCCUAAAUACUUCCUUCAUUACCCCAAUAGCCCAGUCUUUCGGUGUUUUUUUUUUCUUUGUUGUCAUGCAGGAUCUUAGUUCCCUGACUAGGGACUGAACCCAUGCCUUCUGCACUGGAAGCAUGGAGUCUUAACUGCUGGAC
ensembl:lncRNA